CUUUCAAUCAUGUGAUAUGAAGCCUGAAAACUGACUCAGAUCCAGAAAUUAGACACAGGAAACUGUACCUGUCCCUGAAGAUGGAAAAGAGCUGAAGACCCUUUGAUGUCAGCAUCCCAGCCAAGGGGGUAUCAGCGCGUUCCUUGAAGAGUUUGCUUAUAAUCCUUCCAUCUGCGCGUUAGUCCUGGCAGCAGCAAUGACAGCUCCAUCUACAGCAUGAAAACAACGAAGGUAAACAGCCCAGGAGCUGCUGUAACCGAGAAUACAGGUGCUGUGAUGAGCUCCCAUCCCAGACGCCCACUGUGGCCCAGCCUCCUUGUUCCCAGUGCCCAGCUCCCAUACACAUAGCCCUCUCACACUCCAGCCGUCUUC
rnacentral:lncRNA from 1 species